AUUGAACGCUGGCGGCAUGCCUUACACAUGCAAGUCGAACGGCAGCACGGGAGCUUGCUCCUGGUGGCGAGUGGCGAACGGUUGAGCAAUAUAUCGGAACGUGCCCAGUAGUGGGGGAUAGCCCGGCGAAAGCCGGAUUAAUACCGCAUACGAUCUACGGAUGAAAGCGGGGGAUCGCAAGACCUCGCGCUAUUGGAGCGGCCGAUAUCUGAUUAGCUAGUUGGUGAGGUAAAGGCUCACCAAGGCGACGAUCAGUAGCUGGUCUGAGAGGACGACCAGCCACACUGGAACUGAGACACGGUCCAGACUCCUACGGGAGGCAGCAGUGGGGAAUUCUGGACAAUGGGGGAAACCCUGAUCCAGCAAUGCCGCGUGAGUGAAGAAGGCCUUCGGGUUGUAAAGCUCUUUUGUCAGGGAAGAAACGGUUCUGGCUAAUAUCCAGAGCUAAUGACGGUACCUGAAGAAUAAGCACCGGCUAACUACGUGCCAGCCGCCGCGGUAA
rnacentral:rRNA from 1 species